GACUCGGGUUUCACCAUUGAUCCAGUCAGAGAACCCAGAACUAGAUUAGGAGGAAAAGCAGGAUUUUGACCAGGAUGUGGACAGAAAUAACUAACAGACUGACGUCACUUUACAAGUUCAGAAUAUGAAUGAUAAAGCUGCAGUGUGUGACCCACUCUCAUAUACAUCCAUCAUGUUCUCCACCCUGGUGGCUGGAGUUCCCAUGAUCACCCUCAGCUGCACAGACCCUGAUAGAGACCACCUAAACUGCCACCAUCACCAAUGGAAACUUCAUCAUCUCUAUUAUGACUCCAACAGCAGAACUUCAACUAUCCACUGUUAUGUUCUCAAAAGUGUUGUUGUGGACUGUUUCCAAAUGAAUGGGCGGAGUCUGACAUGUAAAACCUCUUCUCGCUUUCAUCACCAUUGUGCUGUGGAGCAUCUCCUAUCACUAUAUCCUAUCAUAAUUAUUUUGUUAAGGAAAAUGAAUGGUCUGGUUUCUACAAC